GAGGGAAUAUUGGUCAAUGGACGAAAGCCUGAACCAGCCAAGUAGCGUGCAGGAUGACGGCACCUAUGGGUUGUAAACUGCUUUUAUACGGGAAUAAAGUAAGGCACGUGUGGAAUUUUUGCAUGUACCCUACUGAAUAAGGACCGGCUAAUUCCGUG
rnacentral:rRNA from 1 species